ACAGUGAUUAACGAAUGGAAGGAUUAGUGGGUAAACGGAGACACAGUUGAAACUUGAAAGAGCAGAUUAUUUUCGUAAACAUGUACUAUACUCAUUAUUCAUUACAAUAUUUUACACGCAAAACUGUGCGAUUCGACACCAUUAAUCGAUCAUAGGUAUAUGAAGUUAUCGACACUAUGUUUCGUAUAUUUCCUCUAUUCUGUAGUAUAACAGGUCAGUGGUUUUCAACCUUUUACAAAUGGCGACCAUA